CGCCUCGUGGGCAUCGAAGAUCCUUGCAAUGCAUUUCACCUAGAAAUGAAACCUUUUACAUAAAUAUAUAAUGUACUAACGUAUAAAAGUGUUUUUGUACAAAGUAAGGCUAAUAAAGAAACAAUUUUCAAAUUGUCGAAUUUCGAAAAACGAACCGCGGAUUCAGAUUCGACACGUCGAGAAACCUAAGGAAGGACCUCCGGUUCCUCCACGCGC
rnacentral:lncRNA from 1 species